rnacentral:rRNA from 1 species
UACGUAGGGGGCAAGCGUUGUCCGGAAUCAUUGGGCGUAAAGCGCGUGUAGGCGGCUCGAUAAGUCUGUUGUGAAAGCCCAGGGCUCAACCCUGGAACGCCGAUGGAUACUGUCGAGCUAGAGUCCGGAAGAGGCGAGUGGAAUUCCUGGUGUAGCGGUGAAAUGCGCAGAUAUCAGGAGGAACACCAAUGGCGAAGGCGGCUCGCUGGGACGGUACUGACGCUGAGACGCGAAAGCGUGGGGAGCAAACAGG